AUGAAAAGCAACAACUACUUGACAGGUGUAAUUCCACCACAGAUUGGCCAGCUCAAAGUGCUUGCCGUUCUUGAUUUCAGUUUUAAUAAGCUAUCCAGGGAGAUCCCACAAUCGAUUUGCAACCUCACAAACUUGCAGGUGCUAGCUAGACUUGUCCAGCAACAAUCUCAUAGCGCAGCCGACCAUCUCUCUCCUCUCCUCGCUCCGGUGAAUCGGCCUGCGAUGCUUGCGCCGCAGACAGCUCUAGCUAUCUGCCUGGGAGCACCUAACUGCUUCCGUGCUCUAUCGAACGGACCUCGUCUCCUUCCUGUCCGGUCACCGCCGCCGUAA
rnacentral:rRNA from 1 species